AGAGUUUGAUCAUGGCUCAGAUUGAACGCUGGCGGCAGGCCUAACACAUGCAAGUCGAGCGGUAGCACAGAGAGCUUGCUCUCGGGUGACGAGCGGCGGACGGGUGAGUAAUGUCUGGGAAACUGCCUGAUGGAGGGGGAUAACUACUGGAAACGGUAGCUAAUACCGCAUAACGUCGCAAGACCAAAGUGGGGGACCUUCGGGCCUCAUGCCAUCAGAUGUGCCCAGAUGGGAUUAGCUAGUAGGUGGGGUAACGGCUCACCUAGGCGACGAUCCCUAGCUGGUCUGAGAGGAUGACCAGCCACACUGGAACUGAGACACGGUCCAGACUCCUACGGGAGGCAGCAGUGGGGAAUAUUGCACAAUGGGCGCAAGCCUGAUGCAGCCAUGCCGCGUGUGUGAAGAAGGCCUUCGGGUUGUAAAGCACUUUCAGCGGGGAGGAAGGCGNCGAUUGACGUUACCCGCAGAAGAAGCACCGGCUAACUCCGUGCCAGCAGCCGCGGUAAUACGGAGGGUGCAAGCGUUAAUCGGAAUUACUGGGCGUAAAGCGCACGCAGGCGGUCUGUCAAGUCGGAUGUGAAAUCCCCGGGCUCAACCUGGGAACUGCAUUCGAAACUGGCAGGCUAGAGUCUUGUAGAGGGGGGUAGAAUUCCAGGUGUAGCGGUGAAAUGCGUAGAGAUCUGGAGGAAUACCGGUGGCGAAGGCGGCCCCCUGGACAAAGACUGACGCUCAGGUGCGAAAGCGUGGGGAGCAAACAGGAUUAGAUACCCUGGUAGUCCACGCCGUAAACGAUGUCGAUUUGGAGGUUGUGCCCUUGAGGCGUGGCUUCCGGAGCUAACGCGUUAAAUCGACCGCCUGGGGAGUACGGCCGCAAGGUUAAAACUCAAAUGAAUUGACGGGGGCCCGCACAAGCGGUGGAGCAUGUGGUUUAAUUCGAUGCAACGCGAAGAACCUUACCUGGUCUUGACAUCCACAGAACUUUCCAGAGAUGGAUUGGUGCCUUCGGGAACUGUGAGACAGGUGCUGCAUGGCUGUCGUCAGCUCGUGUUGUGAAAUGUUGGGUUAAGUCCCGCAACGAGCGCAACCCUUAUCCUUUGUUGCCAGCGGUUCGGCCGGGAACUCAAAGGAGACUGCCAGUGAUAAACUGGAGGAAGGUGGGGAUGACGUCAAGUCAUCAUGGCCCUUACGACCAGGGCUACACACGUGCUACAAUGGCAUAUACAAAGAGAAGCGACCUCGCGAGAGCAAGCGGACCUCAUAAAGUAUGUCGUAGUCCGGAUUGGAGUCUGCAACUCGACUCCAUGAAGUCGGAAUCGCUAGUAAUCGUAGAUCAGAAUGCUACGGUGAAUACGUUCCCGGGCCUUGUACACACCGCCCGUCACACCAUGGGAGUGGGUUGCAAAAGAAGUAGGUAGCUUAACCUUCGGGAGGGCGCUUACCACUUUGUGAUUCAUGACUGGGGUGAAGUCGUAACAAGGUAACCGUAGGGGAACCUGCGGUUG
rnacentral:rRNA from 1 species